ensembl:lncRNA
GGGGGGCGGGAUUGCAGCUUCAAAUCUGAUACAGAGUGCAGUACUAUGAUGGGAGUAGUCUGGGACAGUUAGAGCCACGCUUGGCCAUGUUUUCAUUACAGUAAAGCUCCAUGGACAGCAUCAUACUCAACACUGAGGCACUGCCAUAGAGAAUCAACUGUCUCAACAAGCUGGGGUAGGAACAGCAGAGUUUUGAGCACCCCUCACACUGAGCCAUUAUUUGCUACAUUCAUACUAGCACUUGUCUGACAGCCACGACUGAUAAUUCCUUCUGCUGCUGCUCUCCACACGUCAUGAACUCUCCUUCUCCGGGCCCCUUUUUUUUAGAAAUAAACAAUGGUUUGUUUUUUUUUAAAAAAGAUUACGUAGUGAUUUUGGUUAAAAAAGUUGCAUUAACACAAUGCAGUCCUUCAGCAUUUUAACUUGAAUCUUCCUACUUUUUGUUUUGCUAUCUUAAAGUUAGCCCAUGUGUGAAUCAGUCAGUGUUUCCACUAAGCUUGCGUAAAACUACUGUUGAGGUGCUGGGGCCGAUUUCCUGUGUAUCAAAAACAACACCUACGUUCCUUUUUCUGGAAGAUCCUCAAUCAUAAGCUGCAUCUCUGACAUGCGUACCAGCUCCUGUGCACACCAGUGUCAUGUUAUGUCUAUAAUCAUUAAACAUAAGUGUGUGGAUAGAUUUUUUAAUUUAAAAAAAAAUGUAGAACAGAGUUCACAAGACGAGGUCUGUGUGAAGUAAAGCAGAUGGUUGGGUGGAGGGACAUAAUUAAUUUUCCAGUGCUUUUAAUAUUUUUUUGUUAUUAUUAUUUAUUUAUUUUUUAUCAAAGAUACUUAUGCUUUUGGCUAAGUAGGUCCAGAGGAUUAUCGGUGGUAUUAACUAAAAUUGCUUUUUGUUUGUUUGUUUGUUUUAUUGGGACGAUGGGUCUCCAAACUUGUCACAUAUAACCCAACUAAUUACUGUGUAAGUGUAACACUUGAAUCUGUUUUGUACUGUUUCUGGCUGUGGGUUCAAGGUCAGAAGCCGACCAGCAAAUGCUGUGAGGUAAGUUCUUUUGUUCAAUUUUUACCUUGCAGGAGCACUUUGUCUCUUUUCAAAAACAAGAACCUACUUUAACCUCUACGAGAUGACUUUGUGUGAUUUACGUAUCUUAAUCAACAGACGAUGAAUGUGGGUAUGUCAAUCAAAUCUUAAAGGUUUUAAUCAGAUGAAUAGUUUUCUAAAAUAAUAAAUCGGAUGAUCAAGUUGUGUCUUUAUUCAUAUUAACAGAUUUCAAGAAAAAAUUGCAGAUAAACCACUGUGUCACCAAUUUUUUUAUUCUCUCUAUAUUUAAUCUUCCUGAUCUCCCUGAUUUAUAAAUUGUGGCUGUGUCUUGAAAACAAAAGGACAUUUCUGUCCUGCAAAAAAUUGAUUUUUUUUUCUUUCUCUAUUUUUAUGUGUGCAUUUGAAGAUCAGUUUGGGGAUGAUGAUCUUAAAUCUAUCUACAAAAUUGCAAUGUCAGCAAAUGUGAUAUAAAUUUAAAGAGCCC